ensembl:lncRNA MIR646HG MIR646 host gene
AUUCUGCCGCCCAUUUUACCCGCGGGGAAGCUGAGGCCCAGUGCUGUUUAAUAUCUUACUCAUGUUCACUUGAUGAGAAAGUGACAGAUCUGAGACAAACCCAGAUGGUGUGCUGCAUUCCCAUGGUUUUGGAUCCUGCAACCACUCUUGUUCCACGCAGAGGCCAGCCUGUGGGUUAGAGAGAUGCACAGAGAGGGACAAAGCCCGGAACAAUCACAGAGAAUCAAAGCACUCUGGUUAUACCUUGCCUUCCCUAAGCUGCUGAUGAAUUAGCAGAUCAAAUUCCAGAAAUAAUUCAACCUUCCACUGUUUUUUUUUUUUCACGCACGUGUCCCUUUGCCAGGCAGCCUUGCUGUAGUGCCUCUGUUUAAUAUUCCAUUUGUAAGAUGGGCAGCUCCAAGUCUAUGCUCACUCAGCUGCUCAUCAAGAAUAACAAGGUAAAUGACAAAGGAGGUAAGAAUGUCCUCGUCAAAUGUCCUAUGCUGUCACCUGCCAGAAAGCCCUCGGCAGUCAGUGUCCAAGAUGGCUCCCCACGCAGGAAUCUCUCUGAAGUGCUCUGUGAUCUCCACAACUAAAACAUAAUUUCUGGCUCCAGAGAGCUCUGGGGCUCUGUUCCCUUGUUCAGCCCGUGCUCCUGGUCAUCGUCAGCCCCAGGACUGAGGCUUGGACUGGCUCAGGGGCUGCUGUCUGUGAAAAUCAGAUUGAUGCAUCUGAUUACAUGGCCUGUUAACAUCUGCAAAAAAUAAGAUAAAAUAAGAAUUAUUUACCUGUCACAGCUUUGACACACCAUCACAAACUGGAGCUGACACCUCUUCUGUUCACCUUGGAGAGGUGCAGAGUGAAGAGCAGACCGUGACACACUUAAUAGAUUGCUGGGCAUUUACGGAGCUGCUUGUUACCCAGCUCAAGAGCCAUGUCCAACUGCUACAGCGUUCAUCAAAGACAAGAAGCCACAAGGAGCAAGUCAGUACUGCAAUUCAUUAAGGCAACUUGACCUCUGGGGAGAGGAGAAGAAAAAGGAACUAGCAGCAUUGAUUGCCUAUGUUUCCUGAAGUGUGGUGUCAUGGCAUAAAAUGACAUUGAAUCACAGGGUGAGAAAACCACGCAUUUCAGCUCUUGCUUGGCCUUUGAAGACGACAUAGGAAGUCUCUGCUGGUGCUAGUUGUCUUGAGCUUCUCUUUGACACCCUUUCCUAAUGCAAACAGAGUGGGCCUCAGCAUGGGAGCUUCUGCAGAAAGGGACCAGCUUGACGAAGCUUCUGCUUUUGUGACUGUCUCCUAAUGCAGAAACCAGAGCACCUCAGAAGAUCAAGGCUUCCAAAUUCUCCUGGGGGAACAGACGUCAGCCAUUCAGCACAAAGGAAACUUCCUUCUCUGUAUGUCAGAGGAAGACAUAAUUGUGCCAUUUCCUUCUUGAAGAAGUUUACAAACAUUUGCAAGUUGUCAAAAAUAAUUAGUCUAAAAUUGUUUCAUAAACCGUGGAAUGAAACAGGACGUGCCUUGUUGAGAUCAAAGGGCUUCUGUUACCUUCUUGUAAACUCAAAUGAAAUUCUUUUGAAAGUAAA